rnacentral:rRNA from 1 species
GAUGAACGCUGGCGGCGUGCCUAAUACAUGCAAGUCGAGCGAACAGACGAGGAGCUUGCUCCUCUGACGUUAGCGGCGGACGGGUGAGUAACACGUGGAUAACCUACCUAUAAGACUGGGAUAACUUCGGGAAACCGGAGCUAAUACCGGAUAAUAUAUUGAACCGCAUGGUUCAAUAGUGAAAGACGGUUUUGCUGUCACUUCUAGAUGGAUCCGCGCCGCAUUAGCUAGUUGGUAAGGUAACGGCUUACCAAGGCAACGAUGCGUAGCCGACCUGAGAGGGUGGUCGGCCACACGGGAACUGAGACACGGUCCAGACUCCUACGGGAGGCAGCAGUAGGGAAUCUUCCGCAAUGGGCGAAAGCCUGACGGAGCAACGCCGCGUGAGUGAUGAAGGUCUUCGGAGCGUAAAACUCUGUUAUUAGGUAAGAACAAAUGUGUAAGUAACUAUGCACGUCUUGACGGUACCUAAUCAGAAAGCCACGGCUAACUACGUG